GAGCACUAGCAGCAGCCGGAGUCGGCGGAAAGCACCCGGGCGCAGCCGGAGCCGGUGCCGCAGCUGCGAUGGCCGUGGCCGUGGGGAGACCGUCUUCUUCAGGAGACAUAUGAAGCAAAAAGGAAUGAAUUCCUGGGAGAACUGCAGAAGAAAGAAGAAGAAAUGAGACAAAUGUUUGUUAUGAGAGUGAAGGAGAAAGAAGCUGAACUUAAGGAGGCAGAGAAAGAGCUUCACGAGAAGUUUGACCUUCUAAAGCGGACACACCAAGAAGAAAAGAAGAAAGUGGAAGACAAGAAGAAGGAGCUUGAGGAGGAGGUGAACAACUUCCAGAAGAAGAAAGCAGCGGCUCAGUUACUACAGUCCCAGGCCCAGCAAUCUGGGGCCCAGCAAACCAAGAAAGACAAGGAUAAGAAAAAUGCAAGCUUCACAUAAAGCCUGGCAAGCCAAGGAUGUUCCCGCAUUCACCUGCUUUUGCAGUAAUAUCGUAUCUCUGCCAUGUGUGUUCUUUAGUUUUAUUUUAUUUUAUUUUUUUACCCUUCCUCAAACACCAGUAACUAUUAUUAACUCGUUUUGCUGAAUGUU
rnacentral:sRNA from 1 species